AAAAAUCCGAGAAGUGAAAUAAAGCACUUAUCUAGAAAUAUUGAGGUUGGCAAAAAGCAUGCUCAAAGGAGCACAAAAAAGAGAAAUAAGAGCCAAUGAAUCCUAUUAAGAACGGUGUUCAAAAGAAAACCUGUUAGUUGGAACGAUUGAACACAGUGAUAAGGAUAACAACACGGACUCUGAGCCUAAACCACUAGUUGCCUCCUUUUU
rnacentral:lncRNA from 1 species